UCUCUGUAGCCCUGAGUGGUCUAGAACUCAUUCUAGACCAGGGUGGCCUGGAACUAACAGAGAUCCACCUGCCUCUUCCUCUCCUUCCACAGUGGUGGGAUUCAAGGGAUGAGCCUUCCACCACUGCCUGUCUUGAGUUAUUUUUACAGAAUAUUUUUUCCAUGUCUGUAUCUAUUCUGUCAGGUGAGAGAAUUAAUUCAAUUAUAAAUAUCUUUCUAGCAAUGUCUAAGAAGAAAAGUUGGCCAGCUUGAAGCCUGCAUUUAUUUGUAUUAUAAACUCCAUAUUGUAAUCAAGUGUUACCUUAUUGAACUGUAUAUAUUUCUAUAAGUCCAGUUUGUGCACACACACAGAUAAACACACACAAGAACAUAUGUUCCACAAGAAAGUCUAAGGGGUUGAAAAAUGUUUCAUCAGCUUCGUCUUGCAGUAGUUGGGAAAUAACAGAGAGACCCACAGUGGACAGUGUGGCGAGAGUGAGAGUCUUGUAGAACACUUGCUCAUGAAUGGCCCCUCAGGUUCCUGGGAGCUAAGCAGAUGAUGACCCUUAAGAAUGUAAGAGUCAGAGGGCAUGCAUAACACCAAGGAAACUGUCUUCUAGACAUAACAGGGCUGACACACAUCAGAAUUCUCGGAGAACCCACAGCAUGCGCAGGGCGUACAGAGGUUGAAGAUGUGAUCCCAGCUCUGAUAAGUCUUUUGUGUUUGUGUUAUAGUUUCUGAUUUUAUAUUUUUAUGGAUUUUGUAUUUGUAUGUCUUUCUGUGUACCUAUGUGUAAUACUUGUCCUUUGUAAAGGUAACCUUUAUUCUUCUGUAUGAUUGUUGUCUUGGGGGCUUAUUACCUUCAGUCUGUUAACCUAAGCCUAGUCCUUGAACCUUCUAACUUCUAUACAGUCUUAUUGGGCCUAGAAUGUUUUCAGCCUCUGCGACUUGCUGCUGAAUAACUCACCCCUUCUAGGUCUUUCUGAUCUCUGGCUGGUUCAUCAACCCUGCUUUUCUGGCUCAAACUCCGCUCCAAGCUGACUUAAUUCAAUCUGGCUUUUCUCUAGGUUUCUUACUGAAUCGCUGUGCUUGGCCUCACACUAACUUUGAUGAUCUGUUUUAACCUUUGGGCUCCUCAUUCUCUGGCUUCUUUAACUGUAUCUAGUUUGUCCUCACUCUGCAAGAUGUGUGCUAGGGCUGAGCCCUACCAUGACAAGGUCUUGCCAGGUCGCAUUCUUCGGGUUCACAAUGUGAUCAAAUAUCCUGCAGUAGUGCUUUUCUUUUUAUUUUUUAAACUUCUGAUUUGUUUGUAUUUUACACCCCUUCACCCAUUUUUAAAAAGAUGGGAUCUCUGUAGUCCAGGGUGACCUAGAACUGAAAGAUCCGCCUGCUCUGUCUCCUGAAUGCUGUAAUUAAAGGAGUGAAUCACCAUAUAGCCCGUGUUUGAUUUUUAAAGUGAGGCAAGAAAGGAGGCCUGGAGGUGGAGGUCUUUAAGCAAAGAGCUGCCAACAAUUCAACAAAGAGUAUGAGAAAUGGAGGCGAAUUCCAGUGUCUACUGACUGGAUGAUAAGAUUUAACCUCCACACCACAAGACCAGGGGUAGACUGCUGCUGGGUGAAGGUGAGACCAUAGACUUGAUCAUUGAGCAGCCAUUGAUUUCUUCAAAACACCUGAUGCUUGAGGAAGGUGGGUGCCUCCAAGCUCCUUCUCCCUUUCUUACCUUCCUGCCCGGAUUAUAGAUUCCAUGCAGUUUC